rnacentral:rRNA from 1 species
GGGGUACUCGAGCGGCGAAAGGGAUAGUAACACGUAGGUACCUGCCUCCGGGACGGGGAUAGCCGUGGGAAACCGCGAUUAAUACCCGAUAACGUCGAGAGACCAAAGGUGUGAUUCCACCUGGAGAUGGGCCUGCGUCCUAUUAGCUAGUUGGUGAGGUAACGGCCCACCAAGGCAAAGAUGGGUAGCGGGUGUGAGAGCACGACCCGCAUCACUGGGACUGAGACACUGCCCAGACACCUACGGGUGGCUGCAGUCGAGAAUCUUCGGCAAUGGGCGCAAGCCUGACCGAGCGACGCCGCGUGCGGGAUGAAGGCCCUCGGGUUGUAAACCGCUGUCGUAGGGGAGGAAGGCUCCGUGAAGAGCGGGGUUUGACCUAUCCUAGGAGGAAGGACGGGCUAAAUUCGUGCCAGCAGCCGCGGUAAUACGAAUCGUCCAAACGUUA